GGGGAAUUUUCCGCAAUGGGCGCAAGCCUGACGGAGCAAUACCGCGUGAGGGAGGAAGGCUCUUGGGUUGUAAACCUCUUUUCUCAGGGAAGAAGGCAAUGACGGUACCUGAGGAAUCAGCAUCGGCUAACUCCGUGCCAGCAGCCGCGGUAAUACGGAGGAUGCAAGCGUUAUCCGGAAUGAUUGGGCGUAAAGCGUCCGCAGGUGGUUAUAAAAGUCUGUUGUUAAAGCCCACAGCUCAACUGUGGAUCGGCAAUGGAAACUGUAUGACUUGAGUGUGGUAGGGGUAGAGGGAAUUCCUAGUGUAGCGGUGAAAUGCGUAGAUAUUAGGAAGAACACCAGUGGCGAAGGCGCUCUACUGGGCCAUAACUGACACUGAUGGACGAAAGCUAGGGGAGCGAAAGGGAUUAGAUACCCCAGUAGUC
rnacentral:rRNA from 1 species